rnacentral:rRNA from 1 species
GACAGAGGGUGCAAACGUUGCUCGGAAUCACUGGGCGUAAAGGGCGUGUAGGCGGGACGGUAAGUCGGGCGUGAAAUCCCUAGGCUCAACCUAGGAACUGCACUCGAAACUACCAUUCUUGAGUGUCGGGAGAGGAAAGCGGAAUUCCUGGUGUAAGAGGUGAAAUUCGUAGAUAAUCAGGAGGAACACCAGUGGCGAAGGCGGCUUCUGGACGAUAACUGACGCUGAGACGCGAAAGCGUGGGGAGCAAACAGG